CGGCUUAAUGAAACCACCCCAGAAGGCGGAUUUAGUAGUAAAAUGGGAUUAGAAAGCUCAUUUGAACACACUGCUCUGGGACGCGUACACACCGCCCGUCACCCCUGUCAAUGUCAUUCUUUGCCUACAUAAAGCCCUCAACGAUAGAAGAUUGGGUAAGUCGUAACAUGGUAAGUGUACUGGAAAGUGCACUUAGAA
rnacentral:rRNA from 1 species